rnacentral:rRNA from 1 species
GAUGAACGCUGGCGGCGUGCUUAACACAUGCAAGUCGAGCGAGUGAGUUCUUCGGAACGAUCUAGCGGCGGACGGGUGAGUAACACGUGGGCAACCUGCCUCAUAGAGGGGAAUAGCCUCCCGAAAGGGAGAUUAAUACCGCAUAAAAUUAUCGAGUGGCAUCACACGGUAAUCAAAGGAGUAAUCCGCUAUGAGAUGGGCCCGCGGCGCAUUAGCUAGUUGGUGAGGUAACGGCUCACCAAGGCGACGAUGCGUAGCCGACCUGAGAGGGUAAUCGGCCACAUUGGGACUGAGACACGGCCCAGACUCCUACGGGAGGCAGCAGUGGGGAAUAUUGCACAAUGGGGGAAACCCUGAUGCAGCAACGCCGCGUGAGUGAUGAAGGUCUUCGGAUUGUAAAGCUCUGUCUUGGGGGACGAUAAUGACGGUACCCAAGGAGGAAGCCACGGCUAACUACGUGCCAGCAGCCGCUGUAA